rnacentral:rRNA from 1 species
GCGCUGAAGGAGCGGCCGAUGUCUGAUUAGCUUGUUGGUGAGGUAAAGGCUUACCAAGGCAACGAUCAGUAGUUGGUCUGAGAGGACGGCCAACCACACUGGGACUGAGACACGGCCCAG